rnacentral:rRNA from 1 species
GAUGAACGCUGGCGGCGUGCUUAACACAUGCAAGUCGAACGGAACUACUCCAAUGAGAGUCUUCGGAAAGGAUUUGGUUUAGUUUAGUGGCGGACGGGUGAGUAACGCGUGGGUAACCUGCCCUAUACAGGGGGAUAACAGUUGGAAACGACUGUUAAUACCGCAUAAGCGCACAGGAGCGCAUGCUCCGUUGUGAAACACUCCGGUGGUAUAGGAGGGACCCGCGUCUGAUUAGCUGGUUGGCGGGGUAACGGCCCACCAAGGCGACGAUCAGUAGCCGGCCUGAGAGGGUGAGCGGCCACAUUGAGACUGAGACACGGCCCAAACUCCUACGGGAGGCAGCAGUGGGGAAUAUUGCACAAUGGGGGAAACCCUGAUGCAGCGACGCCGCGUGAGCGAAGAAGUAUCUCGGUAUGUAAAGCUCUAUCAGCAGGGAAGAAAAUGACGGUACCUGACUAAGAAGCCCCGGCUAACUACGUG